GGGGCUAUUUUAGCCCCCCACAGCUGGAGAUGGCCUUAGUCCUCAGUGGGGAUGGGAACGGAGAAUCUCCAAUAAAAGUACUGGGGCGGGGAUGGGGGUGGAGAAUGACCUCGAGAAUGGAGAUGAUAUUGUGAUCCUCAUCCCCAAUCCGCUCCAUUGCCAUCCCUAUUGUGAUCCUCAUCCCCAAUCCGCCCCAUUGCCAUCCCUACUGCUAGAAAAGUAGAAAGUGGUUUUAUUUUUGCGGUAAAUAACUUUUAUUUGUCUCAGGAUGAACUUUCUCCGAUCACCUGUAUUCUCUGCACCACCGUCUCCUCGCCACGUCUUCAUCGGUCUCCAACCUCGGCGCCGGCGUUCUCCUCCUCCACGGCUCCACAUAUCAGGUUUGAUCACUUCUAAAGUUCACUAAUUUCUAGGCUCUGUGGAACACUCAGAGUUAGACAUUUUUGAUCAGUUUUCAAAGUGAUUACCUUGAUCACAAGCUCUGGGCCUCAGGGAAAACAAACCAUAACAUAUUGAUGAGGUCAAUGAAGGGAACCUAUUAAUACGCUCAUGAAGCUUUAGGUCCAGUUGGGAGUUGAAGCUUUUAUCCCAAUUUAGGAAGGGCAUUAUAAAGUUGGAAUCCAAUGACAACUCGGCUUUUCUAGCUAUUGCGCAUGAUGUUCAGUUUGGGGUGUUAUGAGGGGAAGCUGCUACUUGAAAGUUGAAAGAGGCCCAGAGAAUAUAUCUUCCCUGUUUUAUGUCAAAGGGACUACAAUCUGAUCGUGUGGUGGUGGACCACGUGUUUGGAGAUCAAUCUUGAAGUGAAGAAAGCAAAUGGGUAUAUGGGGUAGCAAAUCUUAGCCUUCCAUGCAGCUCCACUCUCUUUAAGUAAAAGGAAUGCUUUCGGUCUUUCAGUAAGUUUAAUUGGAAUAAGAAUCGCGGCGGACCGACGCUGGUUAUGCAGAAUGAGCUGGAGAACCUGGUAUGUCUCAAAAGUGCCAGAUAGGAGGCAUUAAGGCCUUGUAGCUUUUUUCUAUCGAGCAACUGCAACUGCAACUUAAUUCUGAAUUCAAAUUAUAACCAGUCUCUGCCUUUUUCUAGGCCGGUAAAUAGUUCUUUCUGUAUACCGCUU